UACGGGGGGGGCAAGCGUUGUUCGGAAUUACUGGGCGUAAAGGGCGCGUAGGCGGCUUUUCAAGUCGGGCGUGAAAUCUCCGGGCUUAACCCGGAAAAGUCGUUCGAUACUGUUGAGCUAGAGUGUGGAAGAGGCAACUAGAAUUCCGUGUGUAGCGGUGAAAUGCGUAGAUAUACGGAGGAAUACCUGAGGCGAAGGCGGUCUCCUGGGGCUCACUUGACGCUGAGACGCGAAAGCUGGGGGAGCGAACGGG
rnacentral:rRNA from 1 species